AUAGCAGCUACCACACUGCUUUUUACUAGAAAAAAAAAUGAAGAAUGAAAUAUCAGUAUGAUUGCAUUAGCAAGUAAAAAAGUGACUUUUCUUUUUUGCAAAACUAAGUAUCAAUUUUGAGUCGGACGUUUCUUCUGCUUGGUAAGAUUGAACAUAGCAGAACAAAUACUAUCUGUACUGUGCCAAAUUGGUUUCUUAUUGGAAUGUGUGAUGCUAGUUAUCCAGUCUUAUUACAGUACCAGUGAGAAAUGUUAUAGAGUGGAAAAAACUGUGCCAAAAAAUGAAAAAUUGGUUGUGCUGAAAAUUUGUUUUUAAAACAUAAUGUUUUCUGAAGCUUGGCAGAUCCAAUCAAACAGAGUUCCACAAACAUAAAACUAGAAACCUGUAUUAUUGUCUUAAAUUUUGUACAUUGAGUACUACGGGUCGGUGUGUACUAAACACCAAGUGCAAACGUGUCAUUAACUGAAAGCAGUGGACGUUGAGCUAUGCUAUUAUGUACUCUGUUUUCACAUCUGUAUUUUCCGAGACCAUCUUUUAUUUACAGCAUCCACAUUCUAUAGGAAUAGUAAAAAGCUAAAAAAAAAAAAAACAAACAUUACAUGUACUAUACAUCUACAACAAAAUCAUAAAAAUAUUAGACUUGGAGAUUUGUGUCGUUACAAACUGCAAUUUGCCUGACUUUUGGCCGAUCAGUUAUAGCCGAAUCAUGAACCAAAAGAAAUGUACAAUGGCCAAGCAUGUUUGUUUUGUGAUUCCUAAUCCCUCCUGUUCACCAGAAAAAGAGAUGAUUAAUGGUAGAAAAGAUGAUUGAAAGCUAGGACACGGUCACUAAAUGUUGAUUUUAUUCACAGAACAAGAAAUAAAAAAACAAUAGAGAGAAAAAAGGUGAAGCAGUAAAAAAAAAUAAAAAAUAUUUAUAUGUUAUUUAAUUAAAAAAUAUAUAUGUUUUUUCUGCUCCUUCUCUUUUUACCUUGGUAACAACCAGUUUUCAAAAUGUCGAGCUGUCAUAAAGUGCAGGAUUAUGAAGCUGGCAAUGCACAGUUUUUGUUCCUACAGUUUUUAUUAUGCGAUUGUACAUUUUUGGAAUUUAGGAAAAAUCUUGUGAAAUGUCCAUCUGUCAUUGUCAGUGAACAUCUUGGAUUCACUUGUUCACAUCGCUGAUGACAGUGAUGUGUGACAUAUGCUGUUGUUAAUUCUUGAUGCAUUAAAUACUAAGCAUUUUUAUUACUGACCUGUCAUUUGGACACUGAAUAUUUGUCUGUUUAGUUUACUCAUGUUUCUUUAGAACUCAUGUUAAAGUACUUAUUUUUGGGACAUUUUAUCGUUGCUAAUGCUAACUAGCAAUCAAACACAUAUGAGUCCCCUUUAAAGAUUACUUUGUUUUUGUGAUUUUGUUAUUUGAAAUGUAAGCUUCCUUUUCAAGUGGUGUUUUGUUUGUUUCGUGCUAUCUCUCAAUGUCAUUGAGAUAAUCGGUCCUUAGAGAUUGUGCCCUCAAAUGGAAUAUCCUAAUAGUUGCAUCAUUAGGGAACUUAAGAGAAAAACAUUCUAGGUGCUUUUGAGGACUAUAUUGUAAAGGUGAAAUGUAUUGUCAUAGUCCAUAAAAAGAGUCAUUUAAAAGUACAUUUAGUUGUUUUUAAACAGGUGUAAAAGUAAUUUCUUGUUCUUUAUACUUUCUGAAAACAUUUUGCUACAGAUUAGCAUAGUCUGUUUUACAAUGUAAUUUAUAAGUGCCAUCAGGGUUGCCUUUCUUUUAUAGAUGCUUAAAGGAGCACUCUGAACCACAAUAGCACUUCAGCUUGCUGUAGAGCUUUAUGUAUGAAAAGUGUGUCCCCUUCUUUUCAUUUUACAAAAAGUGCAGAUUUCAAUAGAAAUUGGUACUUUUAUAAAAAUAACCUUGUUACACUCCCUGGUUGUCAAUCAGACAAAUGGUCCUGUUACUUCCUGGUAGUCUAGCUCAGUGGAGCUAACCUCAAGAGGCAGCAUAUGGCCCAAGUUCCUUGCAAUGACUUCUCAUUAAGAUGCAUUAGGAAUUCCGUGACUCAACAGUCACAAAAAAGUCUGGACUGGGUUGGAAGUGGAAGGCUUGAAGAGGCUGCAGACAAGAGAUCUGUAGCUUUUGCAAUCUGUUUUUAGAUAUAACCCCAAUUAAAAAAAAAAAGCAUAAUAAAAUGUAGUCAUAUUUUUAUUGGGUUAUAUAUACUAAACACUGAUUUUUAUUUAUUUUCAAAUUUGGACAGUGGCCCUUUAAUUUACUCAAGUAUUACGAAAAUGGGGACAUGCAUCAUAACAAUUCAAGUUAUAACAAUUAAAUUUGCACUCCUUUUAAUUCCUUUAUUAUCAAUAUAAUAGUUUAGUUUUGCUAAGGUCUGCAUUACUCUAAUGGAUUCUAAUAUUCUGAUCAGUAACAGCCUUGUACAGAGUAAAUGUAUAAGGUUAUCUCACCUGUAUAUACAUCUGAAUGUUGGCUCCAAGCGGUUUGCACAAGUUGAAUGGGUAUGAGUUGGACCAUGCACUCAAUACUCCUGGUUACAAGAGGAUCCAAUAUGUACAUAUUUACAUACUAAUAUAAGCUGACAAGAAACUAAAAUUAAUUACGUUCUGAUUUUUACUUGUUUGCAUGACUGCUGUUGAUCCAACAGAAGGUGGAAAUCUCAAACGGAAGCAAUUUCUAAUGUUGCCACAAUAUGAUAAAAAUUGUUCUUGACUGCAAAGUAACAGUUAUUUUUUUCCUUUGAUGAAAAAAUCUGUUACACCCAUGUUAACAAUUAUAUCCAUGAAUUCCAAAACAUUCAGAUGUUUAAAAAUGAGUACAGUAUCUAACAAAAAAAAAACUCCAUACGCAGAGAAUUCCAUAUAUUUGUUAUUUUUGCUUUAACCUCUUAAGGACCAAACUUCUGGAAUAAAAGGGAAUCAUGACAUGUCACACAUGUCAUGUGUCCUUAAGGGAUUAAAGAACUCUGCUGUAGGUGAAAUCUUGACUUUUAAAUUCUAAAUUGGUGAUAUUGUGUCCUUUGUACAGUUCUAUUAAUGAACAGAAUACCAGAAAGCUAUUUGUAUUGGUUCUGUAUUUGUUUGUAUAAUGUUAUGGUGUCCACUCAAAUUCACAGUUUUUUUUAGUAACAAGUAAAUCGUCUUUUUCCCAACUAAAGAAUGUAGCCUGCCUCUUUCUAUUUCUAUAAUAUGCUUCUUUAAAACAGGUGCAAAAAAAUGCACCAUGUAUUCCAGGUGGGGUCUUGUCACUGAUUUAUACAGAAGCAAAUAUUUUUAUAUUUUUGUCCCGUGAAUCAUUACCCGCUAUAUGCAUGACAAUACCUUACUGGCCUUUGGAAAUGAUGUCUGACUUAGAACUAGUCUGUUGUCUAUAACUAUGCCCAAGUCUUUCUCAGUUCUUGUUUUCCCUAACUCAUUUCUAUUUAGGGUAAAGAUUGCUUGUACAUUAUUCACUCCAAAAUACAUAGUUUUGCAUUUUUGUCCAGUUCAAUAAUUUGUCAAAAUUCAUGUGUAGUAAUAUCCUGCUCACACGUUAGUACCUUACUUAGUUUUGUGUCACCUGCAAACACUGACACAUACCUUGUAUGCCCAUUGUGAGAUCAUUAAAAAAACAGGUUAAAGAGAACUGAAUCCAUAACAGAGACUUGUUCAAGAAGAAUACUCCAACUCCUCUAAAUUUGUGCAUCAAAUAAAUUUUUUAGCCCCUCCUUCCCCCCCGCCCCAUGUCCCAAUGCAAGCAUAGUAAAACAGUUGCAACAUUCAACAAAUAAUUUAGGGAUGUUCGGUGGGCUAUUUUUAUUUAAUUGAUAUAUUAUUACUAUCAAUUAUAAUUAAAAGCUGAUUGAAAUGUUUUUCUUUGAGAUUGCUAUUUAAGCAAAAAAAAAUUAUUAUAGUCAGUACCAAAUUAGACCAACAUGGAUUGAAUGGCAUCUUUCCAAAAAUAAUUUUACAGUUACAUAACAAUGCAUUUUUUGCUUGAAAAGUACGUCAUUAGCACACUGUAGGUGAAGACAUGAAGUUACAACAAGACUACAUUGACAAAAGAGUUUGACAAAGCAAAAGAUAUAAAAAUAAAACAUAUAGUUGUAACAAGCCCAUACUAUCUAUUGUAUGGUGUUGCAGAAUAUGUUUAAUAAGUACAUUAGUAAUAAUAAUAUAGAAAAAUAAAAGUGACCUUUUGCACAUAUUUUAAUGCUAAUACCAUGACUUUGUAAGAAGAAUUAUCUGAUCAACUUACAUUAUAAUUCUAAGGCAGAUACAUGUUUUGACAUUUAAACUUUAGACUUUUUUUUAUUUGUUAGUUAACGUGAAACACUACAUUCAUUCUGUUUAUCAUUCUUACUUAAGAUUUACAAAUUACAAAUGAGUAAUUCAAGUAAAAUAUACAGUAGUCAUGGAUAGAAAGAGUGUAAAGUCCUACAUUCAAAGCAGAUAUGUGCGUUGAAUGUUAUCACAUUUGAAAAAAAAGUGGUAAAAAAUCUUAUUAUUGCUGCCUAUGCAUUUUUGGGAGUUGAUUUAAUACAAAUACAUAGUUUACAGAACAAUAACUGCAUAGGCACUGUUUGGCUGUAUACGAUCUAAUAAAAAACAAAACAACACAUUCUUAUUGUACCACUGUUAAACAGUCUAGUAAAUCUGUUCAUCAUUUUAAGUGUUUCAAUACACAAAAGCAUUUUAUCCAAAAUUGAAGUACUGUACGUUACAAACGUAGGCAGCACAACUAAAUUGUGUAUUAUGUAUUAUUUAGUAAACCUUACUGUGUUUGCUAAUUGUGAUAAUAGAAUCCUUACACUUUAAAGAUGGUGUAACUGUAUUUGUAUAAAUUAGAUGUAAAUCCUGGAGAGAUCAAUUAAUUUGCAUAUUGGAUUAAAAGGAAUUUGAUUUGGAAGAAAGUAUAGUUUAAAUAUUCUUUUUAAGCAUAGGUUAGCUGUACAAACGUGAUUUAUCCUGACUAAUGUGUUUUCAUCAGUAUUGUCAGGAAUGAUAAGAAACAACAUAUGAUUUAAAGGUUCUUUUAAAUUGGAUAAAUUAAAAGAACACUGCAGGCACCAUAACCACUACAGCUCACUGUAGUGACUAUGGUGCCAGAAGUGCCCUGGCACUCCACAAUUGUAAAGAGUCAAACUGUUUUUGAAUGGUUUGACUUCUUAUAUUUGCUCUAGGCUGAUCCUUUCAGCCACUAACAUGGCCGGAGAAACACAUUUUCCCUAGUUGGAACUUCAGUUAGCUCUCCUGAGCUAAGUCCUGCUAAGUCCUGCAAUACAGUCAACUCUCUCAGUCAAUGAACUAAGAUCUGCACUGGCUCAGAAGUGCUAAUGGAAGUUUCUGGUGAUAAAUUUACAUUUCUGCAGCAAUGGUGGUGGAGUUGGAAGGGUGUCCCGCGGACCACAAGUAACAAGUUAAACUGUUGAAAACAGUUUGACUCCUUAUAAAGGAAGGGAGCGGGAGGCAGGGCACUCAUGGCACCAUAUCCACUAGACUGAGCGCUAACCCCUAUGGUGCCUGAAGUGUUCCUUUAAUAUUCUAAUAAUAAAUAUCGGAUUUGUUUGAAUAUAAAUCCCAGUGGACGAAGUGUAAAACAAAAAUUAUGGUGGCUCAGGUUGAAGAUGUGCUACAGUGAUGAAUUACCAGUGGUCUAUAAUAGUUCUCUUUACGGCAUAUUGCAAAAGUAUCUGCUAUGUUUACACCUGCUAUUUUCGUCUCUUAUUCAAUUGUGCAUUUUUUUUUUUUUUUUUUUUUUCAACUGCAAAAUAUUAGUUUACUGGAUAUUAUUAGUUCAGUUCACACGUGCUUUGGGAAUUUAAGUAGUCUAAUAUGUGACUAAAGAAAUACUGAACACCGUUUCAAAUGAUUAUCAUUCAUUUGCAAUAGAAGGAAAAUGCCACCGUCACAAUUGCUACAAGCAUAUGUCUAGUUAAUGUCUUUCAUUUUCCUAUAGGCUAUUCUUAGAAUCCUGUUAACAAAAUUAAGAAGCAUCAUUAAAAAUAGUUAUUUUGUUUAAUUUCCAGUGUGUAUUGCUCUCUUCUCACCAGUGAUUACUCACAGCUAAAACCAAUCAGAACACUGUGUGGGCUCCUGUGUUACAUAUUUUAUGAUUUGGUGCAAUGCAGCACGAGGUCACUCGUAAUAUAAGAUAUAGCUUGUGGCUGCUGUAAAUGAGUCUUCUGAUUGGAUAGUGUUGCUUGCUUGGUUAUAAUCAUUACUCCUUUGUUAAACCAUGAACAUAUUAAGCACAUGCUGUCUACCUUACGUGACAAAGAGACACACUCUAGAGAGAGAGAGCAGUCCUUCGACUGUAACCAUGGUAACAAAAUGAUUCUCUUUCUCGCUUGCUGACGCUGUACUUCUCCAAUGCUUUAUAAAUAUUUAAUGUAAAAAAAUUGUCUUUGCUGCCAUCCUUCAGACAUGGAAAAGGAAAGAAAGUAUGUCACUGAUACUUUUGUCUGGAGAAUUAUAUUUUAUCUAUAUAUUCACUGCUAAACAGAAUCUGCAAACAGAUUUAGAGCAUACCCUUGUAAUUUGGUAUUUGAAAAUAUGUUUUUGACAUAAUGGGGGUUAUUUAUAAAGAGCAACUGAGGGUUUAUAAUAUAAAAUUGGAACAGUCACCAUGGAUACCAAAAGAAUAUUCCUGGUUAUUGCUUUAUGUUUAGAAUACUUGUCAAUGAUUGCUCUGUAUAUUGUGAAAUAGAACAUAAAGUUCAGACUGUAAAAUUAAUAGGAUUAAUUGCUAUUCUGCCAAAUGGCGCUUCAAUUGAAAUGGAAUUUCAAAAUAACCUGAUUAAAGCAUUGCAGGCAUUUUUGUAAGAGUGGUUUGUUUAUUUAAUAAAUUGGGAGUGGUGCAGGACUGACAAGGAAAAUGCAAUUUUUAGACCACAAUGUCCAAUUUGGAAAACAAUUGAAUAUAAACUUUUAGUGUGGUCUAAAAUUCUUUGCAAUUCCUCCAAGUCCAUUCUACACAAUUCUCGGUUUAUUACUUACACCCAAAAAAAAUUAUUCUGUGCUUUUCUCACCAAGUGUAGUAGUAGCUAUAUAUCUGGCAUCUGUUUAAUACUUGUGGAUUGAACCAUCCAAAAAUAAAACAAUAUUUUUACAAACUGCCAAUGCUGUGUUUAAAUACAACAGAAAAAAAAAUGUUAGGGUAAAUAUUUUAUUUAUUUGUAUUUAACUUAUUUUACCAGUAAUAAAUCUAUGAACAUUCUGUCAAUGUGUCUUGAUGUGUGUCUGAUAAAAUAAACUGUGGUUCAAAUGCA